UACGGAAGGUCCGGGCGUUAUCCGGAUUUAUUGGGUUUAAAGGGAGCGCAGGCCGUUUGGUAAGCGUGUUGUGAAAUGUCCGGGCUCAACCUGGGCACUGCAGCGCGAACUGCCAGACUUGAGUGCACAGGAAGCGGGCGGAAUUCGUGGUGUAGCGGUGAAAUGCUUAGAUAUCACGAAGAACUCCAAUUGCGAAGGCAGCUCGCUGUAGUGUUACUGACGCUAAAGCUCGAAAGUGCGGGUAUCGAAC
rnacentral:rRNA from 1 species